AACAAUUAUCCUUGAAAGAAAUAUUACAACUUCGCAAAACUUGAGAGAGAACACUAUUACACGGAUGCUCAAGCCGUUGAUGCCACAACAAAGGUGCUGAAAAACGCGAAGUAUUACAUACACUUAUAGAAUUCACUCUUGGUGCAGCAGGUGACUUGAAAGAACCAGCUGUGGACACGUCAAACCUAUAGAGUCCUUUAUGCAUGUGGUCACCUUCCCUGUCUGAAUGUCCUUCACAAAGCACAUAUAUGGGUGAAAUUCAAAAUACACCAAAUUGUCUUUGGCAAACUAACCCACAGAUAAUAAGUUUUUGCAAACAGUAGGCACAUGAAGAACGUUUCUAAGGUGAAAUAUUCUAGAACCAGACAUCAUAGUCGAGAAGCCUACAUGAGAUAUAGAGACAUGCUCACCAUUUCCCAUAGAAACCCUAUCCAUACUUGUGUAAGGAGAAGAAGACAAGAGAUUGGUCACAUCUGGAGUGACAUGAUUUGUGGCUCCAGAAUCCGGAUACCACAUCUGAACUGAGGAUCCUAUAGAAAGAGACCGAAAAGCCUGUGUAGGAGCUUGUGCAUGAGAAUUGCAACAAAGAGAAGAACUAUGCUCAUAACAAUGAUAAUUAACAGUUUUUGAGUCAUUUGUGUCCACACCAGAAAAACUUUCAUCAAAACGAUGAUAGUAAGUUUGAACAACAUGUCCAAGCUUACCACACAGCUGACACUGUGGUCAGGAACGUGUCCACCCCCUGCCAUUACUGCGAUUUCUACCACGAAACCAACAUCUGCCAUGUUCCCUAGGACCUUGUCUAAAACUUGAACCAUAACUAUUAGAACCAUCAGUGGACUUAGAAGAAUGAGAUUUCUUGGAGUAGGAAGUUACAUUGGCUUGCAUAGGGAUUUCAGACAACAUAUCCAGCUGUCGAGCUUCACAGUCAAGAAGCAACUCAGUCAACAGAUCUAGAGACAUCGGGGUAACUGAAGCAAUCACACGAACAGACUCAAACUCUAACGAGAGUCCAGCUAAGAUAACACUGACCUGUUCUUGCUCAGUCACAA
rnacentral:lncRNA from 1 species